rnacentral:rRNA from 1 species
ACGGGAGGCAGCAGUGAGGAAUAUUGGUCAAUGGGCGAGAGCCUGAACCAGCCAAGUAGCGUGAGGGAUGACUGCCCUAUGGGUUGUAAACCUCUUUUGUUCGGGAAUAAAGUGCGGGACGUGUCCCGCUUUGUAUGUACCGUUCGAAUAAGCAUCGGCUAAUUCCGUGCCAGCAGCCGCGGUAAUACGGAAGAUGCGAGCGUUAUCCGGAUUUAUUGGGUUUAAAGGGAGCGUAGGCGGUCCUUUAAGUCAGCGGUCAAAUGUCAGCGCCCAACGCUGGCCUGCCGUUGAUACUGGAGGACUUGAAUACACACAAGGAAGGUGGAAUUCGUCGUGUAGCGGUGAAAUGCUUAGAUAUGACGAAGAACUCCGAUUGCGAAGGCAGCCUUCUGGAGUGCGAUUGACGCUGAGGCUCGAAAGCGCGGGUAUCAAACAGGAUUAGAUACCCUGGUA